rnacentral:lncRNA from 1 species
CUGGGGUUUAUUUUUAAAGAUAUGGACAAACAGACCAUCCGAUUAGUAUAAAGCGACACAAACUAUGAGCUUCAUGAUUUCAGGCAACAUUCCUUUGAGUUUCCAUAGAAACCAGACUAGCUUUGGCUAUUACUGCUUCAAGAGCUUUUAGAUCUAUGUCCUCUUUAUACAGUGUGGCCAAACUGUACCCGCGAAACAUAAAAAUGGUGACAGGGCUGUAUUCUGGCUCACAAUGUUCUCCCCUGGAAAGCCCUGCUCUUCCAGCCAGGCCUGCAAUAAAGCCCUCUCCAGUCCUGACUCCAAAGGAAGAAGUUUGGACAAAGUGUAUCAAAUCCACAGAAAGUACCUCUUUCUACUGACUGGAGACACAUGAAAAGGGAUGAAUGCCCAGGAAGCGGUGGACCCUUGGAAGGGUGUAGACACAGGCGGUGUGACUCGGGAAUAAACAGCGAGAAUGCC